CCUGAUCCAGCAUGCCGCGUGAAUGAUGAAGGCCUUCGGGUUGUAAAGUUCUUUCACCUGUGAAGAUAAUGACGGUAGCAGGAGAAGAAGCCCCGGCUAACUCCGUGCCAGCAGCCGCGGUAAGACGGAGGGGGCUAGCGUUGUUCGGAAUGACUGGGCGUAAAGGGCGCGUAGGCGGUUUAAUAAGUGAGGCGUGAAAGCCCUGGGCUUAACCCAGGAGGUGCGUUUCAUACUGUUACACUUGAGUACGAGAGAGGAAAGCGGAAUUCCUAGUGUAGAGGUGAAAUUCAUAUAUAUUAGGAAGAACACCAUAGGCGAAGGUGGCUUUCUGGCUCGUAGCUGACGCYGACGCGCGAAAGCGUGGGGAGCAAACAGGAUUAAAUACCCUGGUAGUCCACGCUGUAAACUAUGAUUGCUAGACGUUGGGGAGAAAUCUUCGGUGUCGCGUCUAACGCAUUAAGCACUCCGCCUGGGGAGUACGGUCGCAAGAUUAACACUCGAAGGAAUUGACGG
rnacentral:rRNA from 1 species